GUUUAUGGCUGUCCUGACGAUGAUAAAUGUCCAACAAAUACCUUCUAUGGAGGUGUUCGGGCAAUAACGUUCAGCUCUGGAUCAGUGAUUGCAAAUGCAACUAUAGUCUUCAAUACCGUCUCUAUCAAUCCAAGCGUUGUCCGUAUAUUCUUUCAGCUAAAUGCUAACACGGUCGAACCCCAAACUCUCCAACUUAAUCUGGACUAUACAACCAGUGCCAUAAUCACAUAUGCUACAGUGCCUAAGACUACUACAACAACAACACCUACUACAACUACCGCGCAACACCCACAACAUCUAC